GCCUUUCUGUUCGGCUACAGUCGGCAGUCUUGCUUUAAGACGUGUGAUGUGUCUCGCUCUCCCACUCGUAAGGCGAUAUUGUCAUACACACGAACACGCCUGCAGUCACACAUGCGUGUGCACAACAAUCAGUACACUGGGAAGAGGAGAGACUUGUACUGAGUGGCUUCUCAAUGGGAGAGAAAGACUGAGAGAGCGAGCACACGAAAGAGAGAGAGAGAGAGGGAGAGAGCGAGAGGUGCAGUCGCAUGUGCAGUUCCAAAAAGUGAAGAGACAAAUUAGCUUGUUAUCCCCCAAAGAAGCUUCACCUUCAGAGAGAAGCGUGAGGAGGCUGAGAAACAGGAGGAAGACGUUGGUUCUCUGGUGAUUUAAAGGUGACAUGACAAGCCUCUCGUCCCUCAAAUCCCAGCUAGUUUCUGACAGCGUUCCACAGCUGUGACGGGAGUUUGUGCUGUCGGGUGCCUGACUGUGUUCGGUGGAUUGCAAACAGGACUUGCAACAGAAGAGGGGAUCAAGGGCAGGAGCGGGAACGAAAGUCUCCUCAUCCCCCCCUCUGACUGACCCGCAGAUCCGAACAGGAACUUUUGCUGGGAAGCUCUUUCCUGAGAGCAUGGAUGGAUUUAUGACUAUGUGCUGAGGAUAUUGGAUGAACAAUUGACGGCACGUUACUUAAACGUUCUCCCCACCGUAUCUCACAGCCGGUGCUCCUGCCAUGUCCUGGCUCCUGUGUCUGUGGAUAAGUGUUAGCUGCUUACUGCUGUGCCAUGCCACUUUGUACGAGACCAUCCAGCAGCAUCAUGUGACCCACCCGGGCCGCAACGCCAUACAGAUUCUGGAGGGGGGAACAUGUGAGGUCAUUGCAGCACACCGAUGUUGCAACAAGAACCGGAUUGAGGAGCGUUCCCAGACAGUCAAGUGCUCAUGUUUACCGGGAAAAGUGGCCGGCACAACACGGAACAAACCCUCCUGUGUAGACGCCUCCAUCGUGAUUGGGAAGUGGUGGUGUGAGAUGGAGCCGUGUCUGGAGGGAGAGGAGUGUAAGACACUACCAGACAACUCCGGCUGGAUGUGUUCCUCUGGGAACAAGAUCAAGACCACGAGGAACACCCAGCCAUAUUCAACGUUUUAGCUCUGAGGCCCACUGAAGCUGGCUCGCCAGAAGCUCAGUGGUGUCCUUCUCCUCAUCAAGAGAGGGACCCCUCCUUGCCUGUAGCUCCAGACAAGGCAGCCCUCUUUUGAGGAAGGCACUCAGUGAGAGAGGCUGAGAGACACCCUCACCCUCGCCCUGCAUAGACCUACUUUUACCUGUUCCUAAUGGCUAUAUCAUUCAGCUCCUUAAAAUACAACCAAAAUCACUGUGUAAACAAAAAGACAAGGUUUACAUCUUACUGCAGUUUAUGUAUCUUCAUCUGCCUCAUUUGAGAAGAGAGAUGGACUCAACCUGUAGCUAUUGCACAGCUGUGAGCCAUUUUCUCCAGGCUGGAUAAAUCACCUCAGGACUGGCCCCUAAAUCCAGCUGGUCGCGAACGUCAGAGGCCAGAACAGUUUUGGUGGAUAAGAAUCCUGAUCUUAUUAAUAUUCAUAGGUAUCUAUACAUACAUUUAGAUAGAUGGUGAAGUGUACAACAUGGACAUAUUGACGGUAUCUAAAAUCUAUUUACUUAUAGAGAGAUUUAGAAACAUAAAUAUAUGAUUCCUUUAUAUUAUUUUUAUAUUAUACAUAUAUUAGUAUAGUUGCAUUUUACAAUUGUAUAAAUUUUUGAGCCCAUAAACCCACAAUUAACCACUUUUCUACUGUGUUAAAAAGUACCAGGCAGAUAAAUGUACAAUGACAAUCAUUAUAAUUAAAAUUUACCGUACGAUUAUAUUGAUAUUUUUAAGUCUUAUUUUUCAUGAAGCAACUGGUUAAGAAACAUGCAAGACCAAACAUUGUAAUGCUUAUAAGUUUCAGUGAUACAAAGUCACAGUGGAUGGGGCCAAUUGUCUAUGAGUUAAAUUGUGGCCUUUUUCUCACACAAAUCUAUCAUAAGGUUAAUGGUGACUUUAAUGUAUUGUAUAAAUAGAAGGGAUUACAUCUAUUACUUUAUGGUGCAUUUGUCAUUCUUUAUUGAACUACUUUGUUGAGAUAAAUGCAUUAAAUACAUUAAACGUGAUGGGAUUGAACAUAUUUCAUAAAUCUCAUCAGUGAAAAACAACCUAAUAAUUUCAUUAAUUCACUAUUAUAUGAAGCUAAAAGGUUUCAGAAACAAUUGAUAUAUCUCUAAUGUUGUUUAUAUGUGACAUGCAUACCAUUUAGAUGCUGUCAGUAUGUUAAUAUUGUGCAUUUCAGUAUCUAUGUACAAAAAUGUACAUGUCCUAGAACUACACUUUAAUGAGAUGAGUAAGGAGUGUGAGUACUCAAAUCCAGCCAAUUUGUCCAGAACAUUUUCUUGCAUGUUCUGCAAAUAGACACUUUUACAAGGAAACAGCAUGUUUAGUUCUCAGAAAAUGUAAUGGCUUGCUGUUUCCUCUCUGUUCCUCUGUGUUUGAAACACAUGUUCUUAACAGGAGGCUUUUGUACAAGAUACCUAUGCUGUUUAAAGAAUCCCAUCUGUGUGGAUUUUCAGAGUAAAAGUAAUCUGCCAAGUGAUGGUUUAAGAUUAAAUCACAGGAUGAUUAAGUCAGUGUGUCCCGAGAGUCCUGUUAAACCCAGAGCCUUGACUGUAUCUGUAUCUCUUUCAGCUGUCAAUGUCACAUUAAAUUAAUUCUAACACAAUUAUGCUGUCUGGAGUCUUGCUGUAUGUUAAGUCACAUUCAACAGCUGCAUAGUCUAAAUCAGAUUACAGUUUUAGUGCAUGGAGCUUGCACAACAAAAUUGAGAUAUCAUUUGAGAAUUCAAAUGCAAAUGGUGUACAACAAAUGUCUUUAGGAUGUGCUUUAGCCCAUCAACAGAAGCGGUAGCAGACAGUAAAGGACACCUGAGCAGAGAUGGAGGAAAUAUGGCAGCAUUUACAUAGAGUCCAAUAUAACAAACCACACUGGGAGAGACAGAUCCAUACAUACUAGCAGGCAACUGAAUACAAAUUGCAUCAGGGUCACUAUACUGGUUCUUGUGUAGUAUUUGGGGGUUGGAAGUAUGCACAGCAUGCAAAAGCUCUUAUUUGGAGAGGAAAGACAAGGAACAUUUGGCUUACGAAAAAACUAAAUGAUUAGCACGAAAAAAAAAAUCUGUCAGAAUUGUCAGUUAACGCUUACAUGUAUAUAAAAUAAGCAAGUCCAGCAAAUCUUAUUAUUUUAAACAAAGUGUUUUUUGCAUCUUUUGUCAAAGAAGCAGCUGUUUUUCCUUCUCAUGUUAGUAUUGGUGCAGUGCCACAGAGUUGCAUUAUAUUACUGAUGUUAGCCAGGGUGCUGUGUUUGUUUGCCAUUGGCUGGCUAACCUCUUUUGAUUGGCAUGAACUGGUACCUUUCCAGAGGGGAUCCGUUAUGAUGGACAGCUCCUCCUCCUCUGCCGUGCCUUGCCCAGGAUGAUGGGAGCACGUGGAGCGUAACUCUGCCACAUGAUAGCUGUCUCUCUGUUGGGUUAUAGGGGGCCCCAAGGGGUGCUUCUCAUUUCUGUCCCCAGUCACUCUCUCUGUCUCUGUCUAUGUCUCUCUCUCAAUCUGUAGCUCGCACCUGGCUGCCUUUCUUCACAUCUAGAUGGGGAAAUGUCAGCAUAUGCUUUAUGCGCUGAGGGCAAAGCCACAGGCUUGAGCAUUUAAUUAGCGAUUUUGGAUUUUGGAAAUAUUAUAUGUGAAACAAUCAUGCCAGUAAAGCACUUCUUUA